UGCAUAAACGAAGGCUAAGCUCUGUUUCUCUCUCUGUUUUGCUCUGUACUUGAAGAUCACUGUACUCUUCCGUUCAGCGCUCCACAGAUCUUCGCCUUCUCUGUCGGUCGGCUCUGGACUCUGAUUUUUUCUACAUUUUCUGUUCUCAGUUUCAAAUUUGGGGUUUCCCAUGGCCGUAGAUGAUUCCUGAGUCUUCUUCUCCGGCGAAGUUUGCCGUCCUUCAUGGACCACCGGCUGUAUGAUACCUGAGCUCCGUAGCAAAGCACGCCGGAGCCGCCUAUACGAAGACUCAGUCCCGAUUGCCCGCCAAACACUCAUUGAGUCAACUGUAAGAAUACGCCACCGAGGGCAACUGGCAGAACGCGGCGGAGGGAAGAGUGUUAAGGAGGGGAAAGACGCGAUCGUUGCCGAUGGUGAGAGGGUUAGAGUGAACCCUGGAAUCGGUAUUGAAACGAGGCUGCGUGAGAGAAAACACGAAGUUGGGAAGGAUAAAGACGUACUGAAGGUUGGUGGCAGAGCCAUGGAUGAGUUCGAAACCGGUGGACGGAACGGAGAUAAGGGUCCUGUAGCCGAGGAUGAAGGGACGGCUACUCCUCUUCCGGAGAAGGUUCAGGUUGGUGGUUCUCCGUUAUAUAAAGUUGAAAGAAAACUGGGAAAAGGAGGUUUUGGACAGGUGUUUGUGGGUCGACGCAUGGGUCCCAUGAGCUUGAAUGAAAGAUCUCCAGGAGCUGUGGAGGUGGCCUUAAAAUUUGAACAUAGAAGUAGUAAAGGGUGCAACUAUGGACCUCCUUACGAGUGGCAGGUUUACAACGUUUUAGGUGGUAACCAUGGUGUGCCACGAGUUCAUUACAAGGGUCGGCAAGGUGACUAUUUUGUCAUGGUUAUGGACAUGCUUGGACCCAGUCUCUGGGAUGUCUGGAAUAACAAUGCUCACACGAUGUCUAUUGAAAUGGUAGCAUGUAUCGCAAUUGAGGCAAUCUCUAUAUUAGAGAAGAUGCAUUCUAGAGGGUAUGUGCAUGGUGACGUGAAGCCUGAAAACUUUCUGCUCGGUCCUCCAGGAACCCCAGAAGAGAAAAAGUUGUUUCUUGUAGAUCUUGGUUUAGCAACCAAGUGGCGAGAUAGUUCGACUGGUCAACAUGUUGAGUAUGAUCAACGGCCUGACAUUUUCCGAGGAACAGUUCGGUAUGCUAGUGUGCAUGCACAUCUUGGCAGAACUGCUAGUCGAAGAGAUGACUUGGAAUCGCUUGCUUACACUCUUGUUUUUCUUAUUCGUGGUCGGCUGCCUUGGCAAGGAUAUCAGGGCGAAAAUAAAGGAUUCCUUGUGUCCAAGAAGAAGAUGGCUACAUCCUCUGAAACGUUGUGCUGUUUUUGCCCUCAGCCUUUUAGACAGUUUGUCGAGUAUGUUGUAAAUUUGAAAUUUGAUGAAGAGCCAAACUAUGCAAGAUAUAUCUCCCUCUUUGAUGGGAUUGUCGGUCCGAAUCCCGAUAUCCAUCCAAUAAACACAGAUGGUGCUCAGAAACUUAUAUUUCAGGUUGGGCAUAAGAGAGGAAGGCUAUCCAUGGAGGACGAAGACGAUGAACAACUGAAGAAGAAGGUUAGAAUGGGGAUGCCUGCAACUCAAUGGAUUAGUGUUUAUAACGCCCGUAGACCAAUGAAACAAAGAUAUCACUAUAAUGUUGCUGAUAUGAGGCUCUCUCAGCACAUCGAGAAAGGGAAUGAAGAUGGCUUAUUUAUUAGUUGUGUUGCUUCAUGUUCGAACCUUUGGGGCCUUAUUAUGGACGCUGGAACUGGAUUUACUGCUCAAGUUUAUGAACUCUCACCAUGCUUUCUUCACAAGGAGUGGAUCGUGGAACAGUGGGAAAAAAACUAUUACAUAAGUGCAAUAGCAGGAGCUAACAAUGGGAGCUCAUUGGUAGUAAUGUCCAAAGGGACUCAGUACCUCCAGCAAUCCUAUAAAGUCAGCGAUUCAUUUCCCUUCAAGUGGAUACUUAAGAAAUGGAGGGAGGGAUUUUACGUUACUGCCAUGGCUACUGCCGGGAGUAGAUGGGCUAUUGUCAUGUCACGUGGUGCAGGAUUUUCGGACCAGGUUGUGGAACUAGAUUUCCUGUAUCCUAGCGAAGGUAUUCAUCGCAGGUGGGAUGGUGGUUACCGCAUCACGUCAACUGCAGCAACUUUGGACCAGGCUGCGUUUGUUCUGAGUGUGCCAAGGCGAAAGCCCGCUGAUGAAACUCAAGAAACACUCCGAACAUCUGCCUUUCCUAGUACACAUGUCAAGGAGAAAUGGGCAAAGAACCUUUAUAUUGCAUCUAUUUGCUAUGGCCGAACCGUUUCAUGAAACACCCCUAAGCCGAUACCACUUAGAGCCUGAAAUUUUUAACAGACGGUGCUCUUCUCUGGUGGAUACGACGGGGGAAAAUGGAGUUGAUGUAGCUAAACUGUUCAUUAACGUCGCCACCGUACUACAUCAGAUACAGGCACCUAUGCUCUGGCUUUCAUUCAUGUUAUUCAAGAUUAUAAAGUUUCCUUCCCCCUGCAGUAGAUUACAAGAUUUCUCAUGAAGCCAGAGGUUCUGUAGCUGAACAUAGUCGAGGCACGAAUUGUGGCUACGUUCGGGUGUUCUGGAGGCUGAAUGUGCCAUUUUGCUAAUGGACUUGUUGGUCAGAUUCAGCCACCAUCUUUUAGCAGCUAGUUCGCCUCUUAUAUCUUGUCGAUUUGGUAAUGGCAGCCCACUAUUACCAUUCUCUUCUUGUGUUUGGCCUAGCGUUCGAGUCAAAAAAUUGCGGGACUCCAUCGUUCAUCGAGAAUGAAUAAUGGCUGCCUUCUGGUUUCCAAGUGCCAUCAAGCAGUUUCAUGCAGUUCUUUGAGCGAAGUGUUUUGGUGUUGUGUGGUGUUUGAAUCUUUGAUUAGCACUUCCACAAUCUAUAUGUAUAAUUGCUGACGCCUCUCGGAUGCCUAGCCACAUACACCGUGCAUGACAGGGUUUUAAGCUUG